CCAAAGUGACUCACUCAUCUGGCUGGCAAGCUGGCACUGACUGAUGACUGGGAGUUCAACUGGGAUUGUUGGCCAAGGGGUAUGGUUCUUCUCUAUGUGGCUUCCUGGGCUUCCUCGUAGCAUGGAGGCUAGGUGCCAACAGAGAGGAAGAGGAAGGUGCCAGUCCUCUUAAAGGAUGGGCCCAGGACCAGCAGAGUCCCUUCCAGCACACACGGUUGGGUAAGCAGUCACAAGCUAGCUUAGAUUCAAGGGGUAGAGUAAUAGAUUCCUCUUCUUGAUAGCUGGGUGGGCGUGCAUAUAAAGGAAGGGCAGGAAUGGAUGGUGGUCAUUUUCGGAGAGGGCAACCAAACCACAAGACCUCUGGAGUUGAGGGGGUGUGUGGAACCUGGUAGCUGUUGCCUUUUCUGGAGUAGGACGGGCAGUUGCACUGAUUCAGGGCUUUGGGGGCAGAGCCAGGAGCUUGCUGGUGUCUUAGGAUCAUUCUGGACUUCACUGGAGCCAAGAGAAGUGUGAGUGUUUCCCAAGGAUCAGAAGUGGACUAAGCAGAGGAGUGAGCCCAUGGGGCCUGAGCAAGAAGCUCGAAGUAAGAUAUCAUGAGUGGCCACCCAGAAAACAGAUGCAUCAUGUGGAUCGAGGGAACUAUGGGAGGAAGGUCCUAAGUGUGGGAGUCUUGAGCAAUCCAUAAAAGCAUACAUAACAGAAAUUCUGCUCUAACCCUGUCUGCCCUGAGAGUACAAAGCUGCCAUGUAGCAUGUGACUAGGCCCCUUACCUCCUCUCCUGCCCUUUCCCCUCAUCUGGUGAUGAUGGGAACAGCCACUGUGAGGUGGGGACAUGAGGGGAACUGGUUGAAGGAAGAAGGCUUUCCCAGAGACGCACCAGCUUCUGUGAGAGGGGAGAGACUCUGUUGUUUGUUUUUUUUUAUGUUUAUUUAUUUAUUUUCAGAGAGAGAGUGUGCACCAGUGGGGGAGGGGCAGAGAGAGAGAGGGAGAGAGAGAAUCCCAAGCAGGCUCUGCUGUCAGGGCAGCAGAGCCCUACAUGGGGCUCGAUCCCAGGAGCCAUGAGAUCGUGACCUGAGCCGAAAUCCAGAGUGAGGCGCUUAACCAACUGAGCCACCCAGGUGCCCCGAGAAGACUCUAUUUUAAAUGAAGACUGAAGAGUGACUAAUAUAUAACCACUGAAUGAUGUUGCCUCUCACAACUAAAGUGACGAUAACUGGGCACACAAAAAUCAUGAGGCCUGCUGAGUUUUCAUCCUGUAGCAGAAGAAACGCUUUCCCCACUGAAUAAAGUUUAAAAGGUAGUGGGAAACCAAAAAAAAAAAAGUUUAUCUAGUCACAAACCAUGCCUGUUCAUCAUACAGGUGCAGUCAAUGAGCGGUGCCCCAGCAGAUCCCAGCCCUGGGUCUGCCACUCCACAGCUGGAAUGGGGCCAUGGUCCCACAGUCCGAAGGCCAUGGUGUGGAGCAGGACAGAGAGCUAAGUGUUGUGCAGGUUGUUUGUCUUAUUGACCUUGCUUUGCUUAGGGGGAGAGAGGCUCACUAGAAAGUUCACUCACAUCCUGGGGAAGGCUUCCAAGGUGGAAAGGAUUUUCAUUUCUCUGCACGGCCUCAGAUCCAGCAGAUAGAGAAACUAUCUACAACGCUGUGGACCUUUUCCCCUGUCCUGGAGGUGUCCUCUGUCUCUUUCUGCCUUGAGUCUUGGGUCUAGAAAUCACUGCACUCAUCUCUCACAGAUAGGUCAUUGGGUAUCUGCACCUAAAGAUCUUAAUAGUGCCUAGAUGCCUGGGCUGCUCUGUGGAAGGCUCUAGUUGUGGAGUCAAACAGACUGGGAGUAGCUGGUAGUAAGGAAAUGCCACAUACAUUGGUAAGAUAUGACCCUGAACUGCCAUGUCCAGUCAUGAGAGCAGACUCUCUUGUUGGUGAGAGAGCAGCUUGGAGCUGGAGCCCAACCUCUCCCCAGUCUCUCCUCAGCUACCCCUGCCUCUCACUCACUGCUCCCCCUUGACGCCCUGUGUCAAGUGUGGAUACAUCACCUUUCUCUCAUGAUCUGGACAGCUGAGAUAUGACUCACCUUUUUAAAUAAGUUUUACCAAAAGCUUAGGACAUACAAAUGAGAAAUGAACACAAAGAGGAAUAUGGAGGCAGCAAUCUGGCUCACAAGGCAGGGCUUACUUUGUGACUUUCUCCAGAGGUUUGUCUCUGACCCGAGGCCUCCCAGCUCCAUAGGGUAGAUACCACCUUAGCCACCCCAAGGUCAGGACAAUGAGGCUUGUGGAAAAAAGUGGAUUCCUCACUCCUGCCUGCCUAGGGCCUCAUUUAAUAAUUAAUUUUCCUGAGUGAAGAACUUUUCACUCCAGAAGAGGGGAUUAGCCCUGGGAAUGACCUCACCUCAAGGAAGUGUGUAUGUUUCAAUUCAUAAUGUUCACAUUAUGUUUCAAUACCAUAACCCCAAGAUUCAUAUAGUAGAGAUUUCUAUAAACACAACAGUAAAGCAUUGAUCUAGAUUUUGUUUAACUCUUGAGUAACCAAUAAAAUCUCCUAGGAUGCCUCCAGUCAUUGGUACCAUUCACCAAAUGUUUGUACUUCAUCUCCUGGCCAUAUUGUAUGCUUUGAAGUUAGGUGCAGGCAUGUGUGAUGGUUUAAAAAUAUCCAUAUGUUCUUUGAUACUCUUCCCUUCAGGAGGUGGGGCUUAGGUUUGCCUAUACGGUAUGUGCUGGAGUUAAUGACUCACUUAGAAUACGUAGAAUAUUCUGGAAGUGAUGUUAUAUGACUCCUGAGACGAGGUCAUAAAAGGUUUUCAGGCUUCCUUCUUGGGUUCUGUCUUGACUUGCUCAUUCCACGGGAAGCCAGCUGCCAUGUCAUGAGAACACUCAAGCAGCACUUUAGAGAGGCCCAUGUGGCAAGGAAUGGUGGCCUGCUGCCAACAACUAGUGUUAAAUUGCCAGGCAUGUUAGUGAGUCACCUUAGGUCCCCCAGCUCCUGUCAACCCUCCAAAUACCUGUGGCCCUGGCAUCUUGACUGCAGCCUCGUGAGAGACCCUAGGCCAGAAACACCCAGCUAAGCUGCUCCCAGAUUCCUGAAUCCCAAAACUGUGUGAGAUCAUAAAUAUUGUUUUCCAUUAAGUUUUGGGGUUAUCUGUCAUACAGCAACACAUAACUAAUACCUUAUGACUUGCUUUGGCCUGUGAUGAUGGACAGAAGUAUUAUUUCCAGGGAGAAGCCUUAAGGACAAGGUAUAAUCCUCUGUGUUCUUGUUCUAGUCAGUUUGCAGCUGGUGGCUGUGUCAUUAGCCUGACCCUGGAGUGAGGACUGUGUCUGGGUCAGGGGCCCAGCAAGGCAAAGAUGACAUGGCAGAAGAGACGUUGAGGAAUGUUUAAAGACAGAACCAUCCACAAGCCUGACAUCCUGCUCACACUUAGCAGAAAGCAACAGGGGAUGGUAAAACAUCUCAGGCCAGUGUUAACACCCCAAAUCUGAAGUGAUGGGAGAGAGAGUAGUGGCCAGAAUCAGGUGAGAGGUGUAGCUGUAGGAGAGGGCUACUUAACAGGACUGUAACCUUGGUAAAGAAACGCAGCUGCUGUCAGCUAAGAACCCUAUAGGGAGGGCCCUGGAGGCAGAAUGCACCCCCCUCCCUUACCUCUUGCUGGUGCCUCCCACUGCCCAACCUGCAUAGUCUUAGGUCUUGGUGUUGCCACUAUUGAUAUGACUCUUUAAAAAUGGUACCAAACAACGGUUCAGUCUUUUAGCUUUUUAGGGAUGCAAUUUGUAGCUUAUUCAUUUUGAUGGUUCAUUGAAAGGAAAUUUUUCUUAGAAUAGUUGCACCACUGAGGCUAUUCUGAAGUUCUUCUAUGGAAGGAGUGGACAGUAUCUGCUUUAGAUACUUUUUCACAAAGAAUUAUUUUCUUCCUUGUAAGAUGGAAUGUCAAGAUGCCUAUUGGCCUCCUCUUGGCCUGCACUUUAAAAGUCUUGCUCAUGGAGAUAGUGGCCUCCAAUUUCAGAACAGUACAUCUUUUCCCAAAAGGCCUUUCAUCCUUCCAUAAAUACAUAUGAUGGCCUGGCCCAGUCCUAAAUCCAGUUAGAGGAUUUGCACAGCAACCUCCCUCCCUCCAGAGCUGUGUUAGCUAAUUCUAGGCUUUGAAGAGUCAGGAGUCUUUGCCAGAGAAAAAGCCAACUGAACGGGACUGAGUUUAUAGGAUGAAUAAGUCAACUGCAAAGUCCUUGGGAUUUGCUUGCUCUCACAGAGAACCUAUGCCAGGUUGGAGUUCUCAAACCUCUCAUUAGAGCCUUGUUAUUCUAGUGAGGUCAGCCCUACCAAGUGUCCACCAUCGAGGCAUCCCUUCCUUGGAACUUCAGCUCCCAGUGAUGCUGAUGUGCAGCCAGAUUUGGGAACCACUCCUCUAGAGUGUUCUAGAUGGCAAGCAGGCCUAAUCUAUCAGAGAGCAAAGAGGAGAUGGAAGCUGGUUUGGAAAUGGCAUCUGUUGAAACGAAUGUCAGCCUGCAAGGAAUUAUACUGCCUGAAGAGGAAUUUAAAUGUCCUGAGCCUGUGCAAGUAUCCGAAGUGACGGAAUGCGAAAGAAAUGGAACCCAUCAGUUUUAGCUGAGUACCAGACUGCCCAGCCAACAGUGGCAUUUUCCAGGUUCCCGUGCAGCAACUGCCUCCAAAUUUAUGUUUCUGACAUUGGAGAUGGAUACUGCUUCUGAGUUCAGAGAGGAUUUGAGCAGACUCUCGGAAAACUGAACCCUGCCAACAAUUGGAACAGUUUGCUAACAGUUUGGAAGGGGAUCACUUUCCAAUCAGGCCUUCAGAUGAGCCCACAGCCUUGGCUAACACCUUAUUGCAGACUUGUAAGAUAUCCUAAAACUCUUCGUGACCCACAGGAAGAGUGAGAUGUUAAACAGGAAUUGUUUUCAGCCACUAAAUUUUGGGGUAAUUGUUCCACAGCUAUAGAUAACUUAUUUA